UAGAGCUUAUGUAAAGAGAAAGUCUCUUAGGGUUUCCAGUUAGUUGAAUUUUGUGAGACAAAAACUCUCGCUCUCCCAUCUCCAUGCCUCCCCUCCUUCCUCUUCUCUUUCCCACAUCCAAAAGUUGGGCAUCCCACCUUCCACAUGUCAAGAGUUGAGGAGCAGUCCAUCUUCAAUGAGAAACAUUGAGAAAAAUGCUGC
rnacentral:lncRNA from 1 species